rnacentral:lncRNA from 1 species
CAUUCAUUCAUUUGUUUGUUUGUUUAUUACUAUUCAAAUGUAAUCCUUUGAAGGGAACUGAAUUCAGAAUUCCGAGUCCUGAAUUCCUAUCCCAGCGCCUUCACUCUCUUGCUGUAUAACCCUGGCAAAUCAUUUAACUCCUAUUUACUCAUCAUUUAUAGUCUGUUGUGUGCUUGGCACUGAGCUAAGCACGCAGGAUGUAAAAAUGAAAUAAGACCCAAAUCUUAUCUUCAAGAAGGCACAUUCACAAAUUAAUUGGGACAAGAGAGGAUAUUGGGAUAAGAGAGGUCCAGAGUCCCGAUUAAAAUUCCGCCUUCUCCAGGAAGCCUUCUCCUGUUAUCUAUUUCUCCUGUAGGUUGUUUGCUUUGUAUAUAUUUGUUUGCAUUUUGUUCUCCCUCUUUAGAUCAUAAGCUCCUUGAGACUAUCUUUUGCCUCUUUUGUAUCCCCUGCACAUAGUAGGCAUUUCAUUCAUUUUUAUCAAUUGGUGGCAAUGAGAAUCGAGGAAGGAGAGAUGGAUUUUUAGCUUUAGAGGUCUGAGAGAAUUUGUUAGGGGACAUAAAACAUGCCCAGACAUGAGCUAAAACACAGAGAUAGGAGAGCAGGGCAAGAAUUUUCAGAGGCAGCCCCGAAGACAAGUUAGGUUAGGCUUAAAGGGGAGACCUAUGUGAGAUAAGGUCCAGGUCAAAAGGACCUUAAAUGCUACGGAAAGAAAUCUCCAUUUUAUUUUUUGGUGGUAAUGGGGAUCCAUUGAAGGUUUCAGCGUAGAUCUGAUCCAGUUUCACUAGGAAAUUGGGAAAUCUAGUGCAUUAGGGAGAACUGGGAAAUCUUCCUAGUGCACUAAGAAGAUAAUGGAAAACAGAAUUUAAAAUGGAUUGGAGGGCACAGCUGCGUGACUCAGUGGAGAGAGAACCAUGCCUGGAGACAGGAGGUCUUGGAUUCAUAUAUGGCCUCAGAUAUUUCCUAGCUAUUUGGCUUUGGGUUCACAGCACAUAUUUUUGUUGUUGAAAAGAAUUUCCAGAACAAAAAACAUUGAAACCACUGGACCAGGCUGAGAUUUCUGUGAUUCACUGAUAAAUGAUUAGAAACAGCAGAGACAACUUUGCCAUCACCCCUAAGAAGCCCACCUUCUCAUCCUGAAAUUGAAAAGCUGGGGAGAACCAGAUUUGUGAUUUUAUUGAUAUAUGGAUCUCCUAGGUAAAGAAAUUCCCAUCACCCAGACUGGCUGGCUGCUUCUCUUUCAUUUAAGAGAUUUAGAAUGUUACUGAGAGCUCUAAGAGGUUAAAUAACUUGCCUGGGGUCACUGGCUCAGGCCCAGGACUUGGAGUGGGCUGGAGACAGCUCUAACUUUACACCUCAGGAAUCAGCAAAUGCUGCAAAUCCAGAUUUGAUUUAUUGUUUUAUUGGUUGUCUGGGUGCAAGAAAGUGAUGGGGAAAAUCUUAAUAAUGCAGAUUCUCCUUUGUAACCCCUCUCCCCCUUUUUGUUGUUCCUGUCAAGUCUGACUUUUUAUGAUCUCAUUUGGAGUUUUCCUGGCAAAAAAUCUUAGAAUGACUAGCUAUUUUCCUUUUCUAGCUCAUUUUACAGAUGAGGAAACUGAGGCCAAUGGAGUAAAAUGACUUGCCCAGGGUCACACAAUUCGAGUAAGUGUUUGAGGCCAAAUUUAAAUUCUGUCUUCUAACUCUAAGCCCAACACCCUCUAUCUACUUGUGUUACCUAGCUCCCUUCUGCCUCUACCCCCAGCUAAACUUCUACCAGCACAUUCUUGGCACAGCUAAUUAUUUUGUUUUAUUGAAAUAUAAUUUUAUUUUAAAAAUAUUGUCCAUGGUAAUAUAAUUCAUGUUGUCUCCCUCCUCUCUUCCCCCACCCCUCCCAGAGUCACUGAGUUAUAUAUGUAUUAUUACUCAGAACCUAUUUCCAUAUUACUCAUUUUUGUAAUAGAA